rnacentral:lncRNA from 1 species
GGGACACACUGGGGAGUAAAACCAGACAUGAUCCCAUGCAGUUGAGAGCUCCUGGCCUUGGUAACUCCAUUGGCUGGCUUCUGCACCGUGCUGCAGGAUGGAAAAUGGAUUGGAGGAGAGUGAGAGUGAAUUAUGGAAUGGAAUACCUGUGGAACUUCAAAAAAUACAGCUGCCUGAGCCAUACUACAAACCUAUUCAAUGUGAGUACCUGGGUCUGAUCCCAUUGUGUACCCUAGAUGAAAAUCACUGCAAUAAAAAUUAAAUAUUUAUCAGUUAUUAUUAGCAAUUUUAUUAACAUUAAUAUCGCAGUGUAACAUCUAAAACAUUUUAUCUGAUGCCGUAGUAUACAGGAUAUGUGGGAUCAUGAAUUUUAUCAGGUCCUUAUAUGUGUGACUGUAAUGUUUGGGGCCAUACAAUUUUCACUGUAGCAUAUAAAGAUCUAUGAAAUAAUGUUAUAUUGCAAUUACUGUUUAUUUUUCUGUGUCUGUGUGUGUGCAUGAUAGAGCUAUUUCCCUGGGGUGAGUGCAGAAGUUUGAGAUGGCUGGCGUUAUAGGAAAGCUAUUUUUAAGAAAAAUUGUCUAUGUACUAGAAUAAGGUCA